CCUACGGGGGGCAGCAGUGGGGGAUAUUGCACAAUGGGCGAAAGCCUGAUGCAGCGACGCCGCGUGAGGGAAGACGGUCUUCGGAUUGUAAACCUCUGUCUUUGGGGAAGAAGAUGACGGUACCCAAAGAGGAAGCUCCGGCUAACUACGUGCCAGCAGCCGCGGGAAUACGUAGGGAGCGAGCUUUGUCCGGAAUUACUGGGGGAAAAGGGAGCGUAGGCGGGGGUGCAAGUUGGAUGUUUAAACUACGGGCUAAACUGGUAACUGCAACCGAAACUGCAACUCUUGAGUGAAGUAGAGGCAGGCGGAAUUCCUAGGGUAGCGGUGAAAGGCGUAGAUAUUAGGAGGAACACCAGUGGCGAAGGCGGCCUGCUGGGCUUUAACUGACGCUGAGGCUCGAAAGCGUGGGGAGCAAACAGGAUUAGAUACCCCUGUAGUC
rnacentral:rRNA from 1 species